GACCACACGGCCUAAUGGAUAAGGUGUCUGACUUCGGAAUUAGAAAGUUGAGGGUUUGAGUCCCUUUGUGGUUG
rnacentral:tRNA from 1 species